GAUGAACGCUGGCGGCGUGCUUAACACAUGCAAGUCGAACGGAAAGGCCAUUGCUUGCCCUGGUACUCGAUUGGCGAACGGGUGAGUAACACGUGGGUGAUCUGCCCUGCACUUCGGGAUAAGCCUGGGAAACUGGGUCUAAUACCGGAUAGGACAAGGGUUUGGAUGCCGUUGUGGAGAGUUUUUUCGGUGUGGGAUGAGCUCGCGGCCUAUCAGGUUUUUGUUGUGGUAAUGGCCUAGCAAGGCGUCGACGGGUAGCCGGCCUGGGAGGGUGUACGGACGCAUUGGGACUGAGAUACGGCCCACACUCCGACGGGAGGGAGCAGUGGGGAAUAUCGCAUAAUGGGCGAAAGCCUGAUGCAGCGAGGCCGCGUGGGGGAUGAGGGCCUUCGGGUUGUAAAAUCCUCUCGCUAGGGACGAAGCGUAUUUGUGACGGUACCUGGAGAAGAAGCACCGGCUAACUACGUG
rnacentral:rRNA from 1 species